AAAAAACCCCAACAGAUAAAGGACAAACUAUUGAAAUAAAUUCUGAACAUACAGUUACAGACAUACCGGAUCAUAACUCUGAUGAUAUACAAGCGACAAGAAUGAGUAAGAGAACAAAAGAAGAUGAUGACGGUGAUGCUGCUAAACG